CCACGCCGCUUAUUGCUGAACCGGGUUCCAUGGUUUCUUCCAAACCCUAAUCAUUUCCUCAAAAUAUUCAGCCGUUUCUCUAUCUUGCUUCUCUCCUUCGUUCUCAAUCGAGCUUCUCCUACAUCAAAGAUCUAUUUGUUUUUCUACUCUUCACCUUCAUCGCAAUCUAACAGCUAUUUGGAGGUUCGAUUUCUGUUGAUUGACUUCGAUUUAUUUCACACAAACCAAAAGCUGACCUACUGCCGUAGACCACCUCUUCAUCCUAAACUCUCUUGCACCAUCAGAUGCGUAUGCAAGGAUAUCAAGAGGUGAUGAAAUGACAACCUACUAAGAAUUUUCCCCCUUAUCGGGCCAGGGUAAAGGUUCCAGAAACAACAUCCCAACAACUGGACCAGAACUUCUUAGCCAGUUUCGAAACCAAAUUUCUUAAGAUUUCUUGUGAUUGUGAUGGAGACGAUUUGCUACCAAUUAACAUAGGGGAAUAUGCAGUUGGAAAGCUUAUAAGCUCCUCUCUGGAAGAUGAGGAACCCCAAACCCUUUUCAGCUUGUGGGAAAUAUUGUUGGGAAACUUGGCUUUGAAGUAAGGAGAUGUCUUAGCAUGUAUUUGACCACAGUUGACUAAUAUUUUCAUUUUGAAAAUUCGUCAUCAGCCUUGCGAUAAACUCUCUUGCACCAUCAGAUGCGGCUACAAGGAUAUCAAGAGGUGAUGAAAUGGCAACCUACUAAGAUUUUUUUCCCUGAGCUGAUCAACACACAUAACAUUACAAGUAUCUGGAAGACACUGGCUGAAAUAUGAUGCACAAGGGAAGAUUCUUUCAAAUGGAACUCUUCAAGUGUGUGUGUGUGUGUGCGCGCGUGCGCGCACGCGCGCGUACGUACGUAUUAUGUAUUAUUAUUAUUAUUAUUAUUUUGUUGAUGAAAAUUUCCGAACGAAUGGCAGCUGAAUGUCACCAGAUUCCAGGGAUGAUGAAACUGUUGCGGUCAUAUAUUUUAGAGUUGGAUGCGCGCCCACAAGAUUUCACACCUCUAUGCUAAACACUUGAUUUCUUCUAGCAGAGUUUCAAUGGAGUUUGUUUCAAAGACGGAGAUCCGCCACAUGUCUCGGAUAUGGAAGUAUCGGAUUCAAUGCAGUCCUGAACGCACAAAGGUCUGGAUCGAGCCUAACAAACGCCGUAGAGUCGUCGUUGUUUACCACCUCAAAGAGAGAAGAACAAAGGCACCAGAAGUGCAUUAAAUGCGCCUCGCUACAAAAACUCGCCUACGCGCAAAAAGCUCUCGAUUUUAAUAACUAUGGUUUUGGUUGUGGUUCAACAUGGAGAAAGGAACAUGUAUGAUCAACAUUGGUUUACUGCAACCCUCAAGGAAAAAUAUCCUUUUGACCUUAUAAUAUAUUUUUUUAUUCUUAAUUUAAACUGCUUGACGUCAAAACAUUAUUAUUUUAAAUUACUUGAUUACAUGUUU